CGAGCACAUCACAUCAGGCAGCACACAGCCUUGAGUUCAAGACUGGAUUACUGCAAUGAACUCUAUGUAGGUCUUCCUUUGUGUCUGAUUCAGAAAGCAGUCAGUUCAGAAGUGACUGUCAGGAGUAAGACCUUGUCAGCUUAUAAUAAUUCUAUCCUCAGAUCUAGGGCUAAUUUAGACUGGUGAGUUAUAACGUUAUAAAUGUGUUAUAAAAAUGUGACCAGGGGGCUCUGUACAGCAGUCAAUGCAAAAUUGAACUGAGAGCUAUAUAACUUGUUUUUCUUAGCUUUUUUUAGAUCAGUGUUGAUCCAGCCCUUUAGUGGUUUGCUGGUUUCUUACUGGACCAAAUGCAAAGUGUUACAAAAAAAAAUCCUAAGAUCUCGGCACCAGUUGACUUGUGGAAUUGCCUCACUUUGUAUACGUCCACUCAACUGAUUCAGUUUGUAGAACUGGCACUGUUACCACUUAAUACUCAUUCUGUACUGAUAAUAAUUUAAUUUGACAGCCCAUACAUUUUGCCACUCCCUGCCUAUUGAAAUCUUUACUGGAGUCUCUUUUUUUGUCCCUGGGGAAACCAUUUUUAUUCAGGGUUCAGAUAUGUGGAAGUUGGCAAGUGUUUUUAUCUAUUGCUAGCUUCAUUGUUUAUUUUACAAUAUUUUGAAUAUUUAAAAUAGCUGUUUUCAACAUUGUCUUUUAUUGAAAAUUUAUAAUUUUUGUUACUUUUUAUAAACCACUGGGAGGGUCUAUUUACACUAAAGUGUUAUAUAAAUUUGACCUGAUCUAGCGUCAAUAAAGAUCAGCCAAUCCUUGAACCAUGUAUUGAGUAAACUUUCUUCUUCUUCUUCUUCUUCUUCUUCUUCUUCUUCUUCUUCUUCUUCUUUGCAGCUGCUCCCAUAAAGGUUUCAGAAGAGAUAUUUACCGCCUUACAUUUAUCAGAACCACAGUGAUUUAUUCUUAUUCUCUGCAGAGUCCAAGAGAUAGUUCCACACCCCUUCACAUAUUGCCUUGGGGAACAAUAAUGUCAACUUCACAAUUAAGGGCUGCAGGAGGUUGUUUAUUCAACUAUGCUUGAAAAGUCUGAUGUAUAAAAUACCUUGGGGCCAAGAUAUAGAGCAUUUGAAGGAGAAAGUAUAAAACCCAAUCAAAACAUAGGAAGCUGCCUUCUAGCUCAGUACCAUCUACUGACUGGCAGCAUCUCUCCAGGUAGAGGACAUCCUCAGCUCUACCUGUUAUCAGGUAGCAGAGACUGAACCUGACACCUUCUGGGUGGGAAAAAGAUGCUCCAUCACUGAGCUAUGGCCCUUCCCUUCAAUCCUAAUUUGGGCAGAGCUGAACACCCCUUGCAUUUGUCAAGUCACUGAAGCCUCUGUCUUGCAAAUAUUUGGGGUUUCUUCUAAUUAGCAGCUUGUGUGGACGGGAACAGUCACAAGGAAGAGUAGCAGGCAGACCCAAAAUGAUGAUGAUUAUUAUACCGCUGCUUGUUUCGUUGCCUCUAGCAACGCAUGGGAUGCAGCAGAGGGCAAAAUGUCCACUGAAUCUGAUCAGAGAUAGAAAUCUGACUGUUAAUUAUCACCGGCAAGGAGAUCACCUCAUUAGUGGAAUUGUAUCUUCAAGAUUAAUUGGAAAUCAACUUCCCUUUAGCUUUUCCAGCACCCCAGUAAGCGAUUUUGAGAAGUAAGUAAUGGUGUAUUGCCAUACAGUGAUACCUCGGGUUAAGUACUUAAUUCGUUCCGGAGGUCUGUACUUAACCUGAAACUGUUCUUAACCUGAAGCACCACUUUAGCUAAUGGGGCCUCCUGCUGCCGUCACGCCACCAGAGCACGAUUUCUGUUCUCAUCCUGAAGCAAAGUUCUUAACCUGAAGCAAUAUUUCUGGGGUAGCAGAGUCUGUAACCUGAAGCGUAUGUAACCUGAAGCGUAUGUAACCCAAGGUACCACUGUAUUCCUUCUUCCUAAACUACUCUCCACUUCCCUUGCUGUGCUGAUAAAUCACUAUAUUUGUUGUUUGAAGAUUAAGGGAGCAUCUCAUCCACUGGAAUCAAAUACAGCUGGAAAAUCUGAGUACUGUAGGAGUAUUGCAGGCAUCCGUCUGUCUAUUUUUCCUGGAGGUCUAAACAAUAAUACCAUUGGAUGGAGACCUGUUAUUUGUUCCAUUUGUUUAUUAAAGUUUUCUGUACGGCACUUUACUUGGUGAAAAGCAGUGUAUCAAUGUGCUUUCUAUAAGCUAAAUGUGUUUUCUAUAAUGUGUUUUCUAUAAGCUAAAAAGCUGUGAAGGGUGUUUACGUCGCAGCUUUUCUGUAGUUGUCUCGUUGUCUCUCGUGAAACAUUGUGGAAAUUCGAAUGCUCUGACCAUGGCCCUUGGCAUGAAUAAUGGGAAGUUUCCUACUCUCAAUAUACAAUAACCUUCUAGAUGUUUAUCCACAGAAUUAGUUUCCCAGGUUUGACUCACUACCCUUACCAGCAGAAUGAAGACAGGGUAUGGCAGGCUGUUCCUUUAUAGAUUUGUGCAAUGAUAAUUGGAGCAAACCAUCUUCAGUAGGAACUGAACAAUUCUUUCCCCCAGGCACAACAUAACCUAUGCAACUUCAAACUGCAGAUGCCUGCUAUCCUCAGACAGCUGAAAUGCAUCCUGUGCGCUAAGAUUGGCUCUGGGGACAUUUUCUGAGGUGCUCAGCAGAGCUCAACAGCCGUAAGUCUUUUUGGCUGGUGUGAGUGGUUGCUCUUCCCAAAUAGCACUACAAACAUGCAAACCAUGAUUGGGGGACCAGUUUUUGUGAGAUAUAUAAUGUCUAGAGUGAUCUUUUGAUACAGGGGCAGCUAGUAGCCACAGAACUGGUCAGAGGGCCAAGGACAUUACCAGAACAUGGGCCUCCAUCCUUCUCCUUUGCAAAGGUACUGCAGACGCUAUUACUGGUACACCUCAGCCCCACGUUGUCCUACUUUCUGGCCUCCUUUCACGUUUGCCUUGAUUUAUACAAACAAGUACGCAACUCAUUUUCACUGAAUGGUGGGUGACUAUGUGACACACCUUUUUGCAGCUGGAUGGAUGUGAGGAACUGCCACGUUCUUUCCUUCUCACUUACUGCUCAGGAGAUCAAUUGUAACCCCAGGCUCUUACCCAACAUCACCCUGGGCUACAGCAUCUAUGAUACUUAUUUUGAUGGUAGAAUAACUACUGAUGCCUUGACAGACCUCUUUGCUGGUGGGAAAAUCAACAUUCCAAACUACAGCUGCGGAAGACGGGGAAACCUUCUAGCUAUUAUUGAAGGGGGUGAAACUGACAUCUCCAUGCACAUUGCAAGCAUGUCGGGCUUCUACAAGAUACCACAGGUAAGAACUGGGCUCAAGUCAAACAUACCCAGCAACAUUUGCCAUUUCAUAAGAAAAGCAAGGUAUGCUUAGCUUAGUGCAAUUUAUUUUAUUGCUCCCUGCCCCCCAACCAGUUGCAGCCUUUGUAGCACGUUGCUACAUAAAUUUUGCCCUACCGGAAAUUGGCGCUUUCAAGUGCUGUUAUUGAGCUUGGCACGGGAAAGGUUGCCUUCGCUGUUCCAUGAGGCUGCUAUCUCUUCUUACAGCUCCAGGAACUGUUAAAUAAAAUUGUUUAAUGUACAGCGGUACCUUGGUUUAUGAACAGUUCUGUUUGCGAACUAUUCAGUUUACGAACUCCGCAAAACCGGAAGCAGUGUUCCGGUUUGCACACUUUACCUUGGUUUACGAACAGAAGCCGAAUGGUGAAACAGCACCUGCAGUGGGAGGCCUCAAUAGGGAAAGCACUCCUUGGUUUAAUAAUGGAUUCGGUUUAAGAACAGAUUUUCAGAACGUUAAGUUCGUAAACCUAGGUACCACUGUACAUUGAAAUGGGAACUAAAUUUAUAGUGUGCCUGUAUUGUAUACCACGAGGCAUGGUUGGAAAUUUCCACUGAAGCUGAAGAAGAGCUUACUAGGUUAAUCAUUAAUGGGGUUGUAUCAUGGAACUGUAUGUGUAUGUCUACUGGUUCAAUCACAUGAAAAAGAUAGUAUUAGAGGUCCAUGCCUAUGUUAAUCUGGGAGAUAUCCAUGUUUGGGUGUGUGCCCUUUGUUUGAAGCUACUGAAGAGAAUGGAUGUGUGAAUCUGUCUCCAGCAAACAACCUCUGGCUAAUGGAGACUGAAAUGGCAUGACACCAGUAAUGAGCUGCAUGGCACCACAACUGCCACCCAGCAACUAGGUGAAUGGAAUUUCUCCAAAAAGAGGGAUGUUGAAUGUGGAGUACCUCAAGACUGAUAUGAUUUAGGAGUGAAGAGGGAGAUGGCCAAGUUUUCUGAUCAUACUGAAUUGUUCUAGAUUGUUAAACCAAAAGCAGAUUGUGAAGAGCUCCAAAUAACUUCUCCAAAUAAAAAGGCACAUGCAAUUCAAUAUAAACAAGUGUGAAUUUAUGCACGCUGAGGGGAAAAUCAGCCUUAAUUUCACAUGUUUGCUUCUGGGUUCUGAACUGGCAUUGACUGAACAGAAAUGAGACCACAGGGUCUUGGUAGAUAGGUCAAUGAAUAUGUUGCCUCUUCAGCAUUUGUCAUGUAAAAGCAAAUUCCAUGCUAAGUACACCAUCAGGAAAGGAAUUAAAAAUAAAACUGUCAAUCUCAUAAUAUAGUUAUACAGACCUAUGGGGCCGCUGCCUUUGGAAGACUGUGUACAUUGGUUUUUGACACACCUCAAACAGUGUACAGGUUAAACUUUAUUCGCAUUAGCCAACAGCAAUGGCAACAUAAAACAAGCAAUAUAUACAAAUAAAAAGACAGCAAUGGGUAAAAAGGGCAAUCAAAUGACCAAAUGUAUUAUAGAAUUGGAAAAAAGUUCAGAAAAAGAUAUUGGAGAUGAUGUGGUUAUAUUCAAAAGGGACCAUUGGAAAACAGUGCUAGAGCUCCUGUCCAUGCUGAUAACACACAAUUCUAAUUUUUCAUAAGAUUUCAAUCUAGGGGAGUUGUGCAUGAUGUAGAAACCACUCUGGGUGUCGUGGUGGACUGACCUCCCAGACCUACUGAAGGCUUUAUUGUUUUGCAGGAUACAUUUUAAUGGAAGUGUGAUUUUAGACUUUUGCAUUCAUAAUUUUGUUCUAUUGUAUUUCUCUAAACUGCAGAGAGACAAUUGCCAUUAGGUGAUAAAUAAAUUGCAUAUAUAUGAAAUUUCAAAAAACAUUGAAGCUUAUGCUAAUUAAAUGUUUCAUCAUAUUUGAUUUGAUUUGAUUCACACAGAGGUAUCCAAUCUUUGUCCUGAGAAACAAAACACCAGUUUCUUUUCUUCAACAGCUCAGUUAUGGCUUUGUUCUUCAUGAUAAAGUCCAGUCCCCUUUCAUCUACCAGAUGGUCUCAAAGGAAGAAACUCAGUACCUGGGAAUUAUCCAACUCCUCCUGCAUUUCAGGUGGACGUGGGUUGGUCUCUUUGCUCCAGACAAUGACAAUGGAGAAAGGUUCCUGAGUAUCUUGACAUCCCUAAUGAUCAAAAGGGAAAUCUGUGUUGCCUUCACAAAAAGAGUACUACUACAAACCUGGCUGUGGUUACCCCAUGAAGCCCCUGCCAUGUGGAGACAAGUCAAUGUCUUUGUUUACUGUACAGACUCUCAAUAUGGACUUUUCACAAUCAUGGAGGUACAAACCUUGCUUGAAAGGAUAGAAACUGGGGGGAAAGUCUGGAUAAUCACCGCUCUUGAGAACACAGUCUUGUUCUAUGAGACGGAAUCCUUCCGGUAUGCCCAUGGUUCUUUGUCCUUUGUAAUGAAGACCAAAAAAAAGAUGAAAAUGGACAACUCCGAACCAAUAUUCCCUUCUGUUUUGGAUCUUUGGCAAGAAGAAUUUGAAUGUUCAUAUUCCAAACAUGCCUUGUCUGUGAGAAGUUGGACAAGAUGCAGGGAGACGGAGAAUGUGAUGAUCCAGCAGGAAUUUAUUGAACAGGUUCAUUCCCAAGAUAGCUAUGUUCAUUACUUCAGUAUCCUAGCAGUUGCUCAGGCCUUACAUGCAGCAUAUUCAUCCAGAUCAAAGCAGAUGUCACUGAUGGGAGGAGGAGACCUGUUGGAACUUCAAAAGAUUCAGCCAUGGCAGGUAUGUCCUUUCCCUUUUGCGAACUACUGUUCAUUGUCCCAGCUCUGGAAUCACCAUAUUAGGAACAUAGGAAGCUGCCUUAAAAUGAGUCAGACCAUUG